CCUAUGGUGAAGAAGGAAAUAUCUUCCCAAAAAAACUAGACGAAAGCAUUCUCGGAAUCUUCUUUGCCAUGUGUGUACUCAACUAACAGAGUUGACCCUAUCUUUUGACAGAGCAGUUUUGAAACACUCUUUUUGUGGAAUCUGCAAAUGGAUAUUUGGAUAGCUUCGAGGAUUUCGUUGGAAACGGGAAUAUCCUCAUAUAAAAUCUAGACGGAAGCAUUCUCAGAACCUGCUUUGUGAUGUUUGCAUUCAACUCACAGAGCUGAACAUUCCCGUUCAUAGAGCAGGUUUGAAACACUCUUUCUGGACUUCCUGGAAGUGGAUAUUUCGAGCGCUUUCAGGCCUAUGGUGAAAAAGGAAAUAUCUUCAAAUAAAAACUAGACAGAAGCAUUCUCAGAAACUUAUUUGUGAUGUGUGUCCUCAACUCACAGAGUUCAACCUUUGUUUUGAUACAGCAGUUUGGAAACACUCUUUUUGUAGAAUCUACAAAUGGAUAUUUGGAGACCUUUGAAAAUUUCGUUGGACACGGGAAUAUCUUCAUAUAAAAUCUAGACAAAAGCAUUCUCAGAAUCUUCUUUGUGAUGUUUGCAUUCAACUCAUAGAGUUGAACAUUCCCUUUCAUACAGCACGUUUGAAACACACUUUUUGUAGUAUGUGGAA
rnacentral:lncRNA from 1 species